ACAUGCAAGUCGAACGGCAGCGCGAACUUCGGUUUUGGCGGCGAGUGGCGAACGGGUGAGUAAUAUAUCGGAACGUACCCAGUAGCGGGGGGAUAACUACUCGAAAGAGUAGCUAAUACCGCAUACGCCCUACGGGGGGAAAGGGGGGGAUCGCAAGACCUCUCACUAUUUGGAGCGGCCGAUAUCGGAUUAAGCUAGUUGGUGGGGGUAAAGGCUCACCAAGGCGACGAUCCGUAGCUGGUUUGAGAGGACGACCAGCCACACUGGGGACUGAGACACGGCCCAGACUCC
rnacentral:rRNA from 1 species